ACCACCUCCUAGCGAUUCUAUAGGCUGCAAAAGGAAAAACCUACCAUACUCCUACCAGGGCGCACAACUCUCCUAGGUCAAACACGUCGGCGGAGAUGAUGGAGACAUAUGGCAGGCGCACCCGUGGAUUUCGAGGAUCCUGACUGGCCGGCCAUUGGGAAGGAACGAAGCGCACAAGAUCGAGCACCGAGCAAGGCGCUGCUGCUGCCCCUGCCGCCAUCCAUCAUCUGCCGCAGUGGGUCAUCGUUAGAAGGCUAGGGCAAAUCUCCCGCAUAUUCCUCUUUGCAAGAUACAAAAAUUGUUACUUACAUUGUGCGGUGACCAAGGACGAAUGCAUAGCAUAGUGAUGAUUGAUGCUUGAUAUGGUACCAAGUUAUCUAGCACCUUACGGGCUGUAUUAUAGGGCAACAAAGACAAGCAGCAAUCCAACUUCUAAGUAAUUUGAUGGAGUCACCGCAGCAAUGUCGUACACACGGGAAGACUCAAGACGUGUCACAUGUAUCUGACAGUAGGUACGUUCAAAUAGAAAACUCAGAGUUUACAAUGGAAGCAUGUGAGGCAUUAUAUGGCGAUGAACUAGACAUCACCGGCCAGGGGCCUGCCGGGAUGAGGUUGUCUAAGUCAUAAAUAUGUUGUAUCUUAUUUGGCUAUUAAAUACCAUUGUAAGUCUCCCACAAAAAAAAUAUACCACUGUAAGUCACAAACAUACAGGCUACUAAUCCAGGUCCCCUCAAUUUCUUUCCAGAUUUGUUACUUACACUUUGUCGCAAGCAAGGAAGAAUACAUAAAAUCUGGAUGAUCGAUGCUUGAUGACGUUCUGUGUUUGUAAAUAAUGUUAGAUACAGAAGAUAUUAGAUACAGAUAAAAUCAAAAUUAAAAGUUGUAUAAAGCCAAUGGUCAACACUUAUUCAGGCUUUCGAUUUUCAUAUGUACUCUGAACAGCUGAAAACUUGGGAGGAUAUAAAUGUAUGUCCAAAGAACAAUUACUACAAAAUGUAAAAUAUGCAGCGCUCAUCACGUUUUUCAAUAAGAUGCAACAUAUUGUCACUUAGUCUGUACAUAAACAUGAAAGAACAUUUGUCAGCUAAGAC